GCGGUUAUCCCUGGAAUGUCUGGGCAGGGGCUGUAAAAUUGGAAUAGGUCCCCCCCCACUCCUUAAUGUGGUGGCAGAGACCCCUGAGGGGAUGUGCAGAGGGCCUUGGUUCUCGGCUGGGCUGUGGAGCUGGGCACUCAGGGAGUUUCACAUAGCCACGAAGCUGCUUUCUCAGGCUCCUCUGGCAGGGAGCGUCAGGAUGAGAAUCCAGACCUGACUGCCACCCAGCCCUCUCACUUUGCAGAUGCAAAAAUCCAGACUCAGAAAGGGAGGUAACUUCUCCAACAGGGCGGGGUCUGAAGCCCAGGGUCCCGACCCCACCAAGCUGGCCCUGCAGGAGCCUCCUGAGAGGUGUCUCGGGAGCAGACCCAGGGGAAGGGGGCACUGUGCACUCUCGCCAGGUAGGCAAAAGUCUGUCUGCUUCUCGGCAGCUGUGUGGCUUCAAAGCCCAGACAGCAGGGACUGAAGACUGAGCAAGCCACCCCUCUCCUGUCCCAGACCCAGCUGAACCAACCAAAGCUGGGAAAGGAGGGGUAGUGGAGACUCCAGAAAAACAGGAAAAAUUUAAACACAACCACUAAGUAAAGCAUCAUUAACUCCUGUUGUGCUGAGCCCACAAACAGCCCCAGCACUCACUGUUCUACUGUCUGUCGCUGUGCAUUUGACAACUCUAGGGACCUCAUCAUAUAAUCAUGAUGUAACAUGUCUAUGGGAGGAUUAUGACAUGGGUAGAUGAGAGUCCCCAGCCAUGGAGGUGACAAUGUGCCCUGGAGCCUCACAAGGCAGCAGCCACCAGGAAGAGGCAUGGAGGCCAGGAAGUUCCUGGAACACCAGAAUUUGGCCAACAGAGCCUGAAGCCAGCACAUCGUGGAGGGGCAGCAGCCUGGGGGCAUUCGGGAGACCUGGAGAUGUGGCAGCUGGCCAGGAGCUGGGGGUGAACCCAGUUGCCUCCCCUUGGAACCGGAUGAAGCCCCAGAGGCACGUAGUCCUUUUUCCCAGACGGGGGUCCUGGUCCUGUUUCCCUGGGAAUAAGGCUUGAGCAUGAGCUCUCUGGGACCCAGCCCCCGACCAGAACCACACCGUGCAUUCAGGCUUGGGAGGAACUGGAGCACCAGGGAGCCAAGGCUGCAACUUUGAACAUUUGCCACUGCUGACAUCGUGGCCACCCACCUGGGGCCAGAAAGAGCCCCUCCGCUGCCCCCAGAGCAUGGGUGAAGAGACGAACGCUUAGCCUACUACCUCCUCUCAUGCCAGGCCCAGCUGAUGGGAAUAUUUUGCUGAGAUAUUUCUAGCACCAGCAGCAAUUAAAGCAGAUUUUCUCUUCCACUCCCCUUCCCCAAAACAAGAAUAAAUCAGUUCUACCAA